rnacentral:sRNA from 1 species
UACUUGCCAUCUAAGGAAAGAAAGGUGCCAAUAUUACACAGCAAGUUUCAGCGACUACGCCAAGUACUAUGCACUUGUCUGCUACGGCCCAGGCAUCCCCAUUUCCACCCUUCAUGACGGACGCACUGAUCAAGCUACAUCACAUUGUUGCCACGUAUGAACGCCCUGAAAUUUGGAGGCUCUUUCCAUUUUCAACUGCUAUCAAGACAGUCCUCCUCUAUCCUGUAUUUGUGAUAUUGGUUCAAAAUAGUUCACAUCUCAAAGACGACCAGUUUUGCUCGCAGCAGAGUUGUCCAAGUGUCUAAUUGCUCUGAUACUCUUCCUGCUGGCUCUCCAUUAUCUUUUGAUUUACUAUUAAACAAUAUUAUAGGGUUGGAGUUGUUGGAGGCCAGGGACAAUGAGGCAGAUGCCACUUUCUUCAGCACUCAUGCCUGCGAUUGUCCCUGGACAGCUUUGGUGACAAGUCAGGAGACUGCCUGGGGAUUACUUUGGCUGUCAGCUCAAUGGCUCAAGUGUAAGUGAAAAUAACAAGAAAAAAAAAAAAAAGAAUCAAUUUGGGAACUCUGGACAGGACAGGCAUUGUGAUAAUGGGACUGUGAAUUUAGUUUCAUUUUAAGGUUUUUUUGAAACCUUGUGUCUAAUAAGGAAAUACUUUUAAGAAUAACGUAUUAUAUUUCUUAGUCAGUGAGACUGAUUUCAAGUCGACAAGGUUUUGUUGUAAUAGAAAUCACCAUCAGU